rnacentral:tRNA from 1 species
GCCGGCGUGGCGGAAUUGGCAGACGCGCAGGACUUAAAAUCCUGUUGUGGCAACACAGUGCGGGUUCGACCCCCGCCGCCGGCA